UUCACUGGACAGAAAGGGGAAGUAAAGGAACUUAAGCUGUCAUAUGAUGUGACUCAUGUUUAACAGUCACGAGCCUCUUUGACAGCUGACCGUUUAAAUUUUUAAAGUUCCUCUUUGAGUGUUGUGUUGCAGCUUCUUUCUCCAUCUGAACCUCCAGCUGAAGCCUGUCUCCUGGUGUGUCUCAUCUUUCUUACAUGGAAAGGGUCAAUCAGAGACCACCUGAACCCAGCUGUGUGUCCUUCAAGAGUGACCACUCAAAGCAAAGACUUGUCAAGUUUAAAGAUGGAUCUGAACAACAACCAGACUCACCUGCACCCAGCUGUAUGUCCUUCAAGAGUGACCUGUCAAAGAGUGAACCUCUUGAUUUUAAAGAUGGACGUGAACAACAGUAGGCUGAAUAUGACUUUCAUGUUUUAACUAUUAUUUCAUCAUAGAUGUAGUUUUGAAAUUAUGAAUGUGUCACAAUACAUUUUGAGCUGACUCUUCCUGA